rnacentral:tRNA from 1 species
GGCCGCUUAGUCUCAGCUGGUUAGAGCGCUCGGUUUACAUCCGAGAGGUCAUAGGUUCGAACCCUAUAGCGGCCA